AGAAAAACAGAAUAUGACCCAAGUGGAUUCUACCCAGCCAAGCUGGAGCUUAGUGAACGUGCCCAGAGAAUGCAGGUCAGCUGGACACCAGAAGUGGAAGUGGAAAGGCUGUGGGCUAUUGUCACUGAACUAGAGAUGGAUGGGAACAGGCCGGUCUCUCAAACUUGGGAGGUGAGAACCAGACACCCCCAAAUCCCACGAGCCAGAAAGAGCUACUGAGACCAUCCUCAUGAACACUUCUCUUUGUAUGUUUUAGAGAUUUAACCAUACAUAGUAUGCAACUUUAUAUGCAUAUGGUGUGAGUUUUAGAUAACUAGAAUCUUGUUGUUUAGGAUGUUUUCUGUUCAGCAAUAUGUGGUGGAUACAUCUCAAUCUGAAGAAAUAAAAGAUCUGCAUCAGUGGGGCCGGUGGUGCUAACGCAUGUCUGUAAUCCCAGCACUUUGGGAUGCUGAGGUGGGAGGAUCACCUGAGGUCAGGAGUUCGAGACCAGCCUGGCCAACAUGGUGAAACCCCGUCUCUACUAAAAAUACAAAAAUUAGCCUGGUGCAGUGGUGCGCACCUAUAGUCCCAGGUACUCAUGAGGCUGAGGCAGGAGAAUUGCUUGAACCUGGGAAGCAGAGGUUGCAGUGAGCCAAGAUCGUGCCAUUGCACUCCAGCCUGGGCAACAGAGUGAGACUCUGUCUCAAAAAACAAAAAGCAAACAAACAAACAAAAAACACCAAGAUCUGCAUCAGCGGCGGUACUGAACACAGGUACAAUUUCACGGCUUCCUAAUGUGUUGUAUCCAUUUACAGUCCUAACAGCAGGAUGUGAAAUCGCUCAUAUUUUCUAAACCUUUCCUACACUUGGUUUUAUCACUCUGUUUAUUCUUUGCCAAUCUAAAACUGUUCCAAUACAAUGUAAAAUUUAAAUUUAAAUAAAAUGUGCAUUUCGCUGAUUAAUGUAAGUUGGAAUAUCAUUAUCUUUUCAUAGUUCUUGGGCAAUUAUAUUUCUUCUCUCAGAUUUACACAGUCAUGUCCUCCCCAUUUUUCAAUGUGACCAUUUAGUUCUUACUGAAAAGUAAGUGCACAUUUUAUAACAGGAAUAUUAACCCUUUGUCUUUUUUUUUUCUUUUUGUAGAAUUUUGCAAAAUCUUUGUGGCUGGUCUCUCCACUCUGAUUUUAAUGAUAGUCUUGUUUUGUUUGUUUUUAAAAAAAACACUAUGCUGCAGUUUUAAAUUUCUUUGUAGACAAAUCUUCCGUCUGUGACUUGAUAGAAAAGAAGACAGAUGAGUGUGAACAGAUGGAGGGGAUCCGGGGUGGAUUGGGCAGGAGGGUCUCAUGGCCCUGUGCAGAGUGGAGCUCACCUGUGAAUUCUGACAGGUAAUCCCAGCCACAGUCCAAUAACUGCUGGCAACGGUGAACAAAGGAAAGCUUCUGUGCCUCAGGUGAAACGGGAGUCUAGAAAAAGUUAAUGAAAG
rnacentral:lncRNA from 10 species